AAUUUAAAUCCCUAACCGAGACCAAUUGAGGGCAAGUCUGGGCCAGCAGCCGCGGUAAUUCCAGCUCCAAUAGCGUAUUCUUAAGUUGUUGCAGUUAAAAAGCUCGUAGUUGAACUUUGGGCAUGGGCGGGCGGUCUACCUAAGGUAAGUACUGUGGCGGCCGGGUCUUUUCCUUCUGGCUAAUUCUUCGGAGUGAACCAGGACGAUUACUUUGAGGAAAUUAGAGUGUUCAAAGCAGGCCUUUGCUCGGAUAUAUUAGCAUGGAAUAAUAGAAUAGGACGUUAUGGUUCUAUUUUGUUGGUUUCUAGGACCAUCGUAAUGAUUAAUAGGGACGGUCGGGGGCAUCAGUAUUCAGUUGUCAGAGGUGAAAUUCUUGGAUUAACUGAAGACUAACUACUGCGAAAGCAUUUGCCAAGGACGUCUUCAUUAAUCAAGAACGAAAGUUAGGGGAUCGAAGAUGAUCAGAUACCGUCGUAGUCUUAACCAUAAACUAUGCCGACUAGGGAUCGGGUGGCGCUUCUUGCCCACUCGGCACCUUACGAGAAAUCAAAGUCUUUGGGUUCUGGGGGGAGUAUGGUUGCAAGGCUGAAACUUAAAGGAAUUGACGGAAGGGCACCACCAGGAGUGGAGCCUGCGGCUUAAUUUGACUCAACACGGGGAAACUCACCAGGUCCAGACGUAAUAAGGAUUGACAAGCUAGAGACUUCUCUUGAUCUUACGGGUGGUGGUGCAUGGCCGUUUUUAGUCCUUGGAGUGAUUUGUCUGCUUAAUUGCGAUAACGGACGAGACCUUAACCUGCUAAAUAGGGCUGCGAGCAUCUGCUCGUGGGCUCUUCUUAGAGGGACUAUGGGUUUCAAACCCAUGGAAGUUUGAGGCAACAACAGGUCUGUGAUGCCCUUAGACGUUCUGGGCCGCACGCGCGCUACACUGACGGAGCCAGCAAGUAUAUCCUUGGUCGAGAGGCCCGGGUAAUCUCGUGAAACUCCGUCGUGCUGGGGAUAGAGCAUUGUAAUUUUUGCUCUUCAACGAGGAAUUCCUAGUAAGCGCAAGUCAUCAGCUUGCGUUGAUUACGUCCCUGCCCUUUGUACACACCGCCCGUCGCUACUACCGUGUUGAAUGGCUUAGUGAGGCUCCAAGAUCGGCGCCGCUGGAGGCUCAAC
rnacentral:rRNA from 1 species